rnacentral:snRNA from 15 species
AUCACAGUGUUCACUUCAACCGAAUCAAUCUUUCGCCUUUUACUAAAGGUUGCCGUGAAUGGGACACAUCAAUGUGAAUCUCUCAAUUUUUGAGGGCUCUGCCC